GACGAACGCUGGCGGCGUGCUUAACACAUGCAAGUCGAACGGAAAGGCCCUGCUUGCAGGGUACUCGAGUGGCGAACGGGUGAGUAACACGUGGGUGAUCUGCCCUGCACUUCGGGAUAAGCCUGGGAAACUGGGUCUAAUACCGGAUAGGAGCCAUUUUUAGUGUGAUGGUUGGAAAGUUUUUUCGGUGUAGGAUGAGCUCGCGGCCUAUCAGCUUGUUGGUGGGGUAAUGGCCUACCAAGGCGGCGACGGGUAGCCGGCCUGAGAGGGUGGCCGGCCACAUUGGGACUGAGAUACGGCCCAGACUCCGACGGGAGGCAGCAGUGGGGAAUAUUGCACAAUGGGCGCAAGCCUGAUGCAGCGACGCCGCGGGGGGGAUGACGGCCUUCGGGUUGUAAACUCCUUUCGCUAGGGACGAAGCUUUUUGUGACGGUACCUAGAUAAGAAGCACCGGCUAACUACGUG
rnacentral:rRNA from 1 species